rnacentral:rRNA from 1 species
CGACGUAGGUAACCUGCCUCUUAGCGGGGGAUAACUAUUGGAAACGAUAGCUAAUACCGCAUAAAAGUCGACAUUGCAUGAUGUUGACUUGAAAGGUGCAACUGCAUCACUAAGGGAUGGACCUGCGUUGUAUUAGCUAGUUGGUGAGGUAACGGCUCACCAAGGCGACGAUACAUAGCCGACCCGAGAGGGUGAUCGGCCACACUGGGACUGAGACACGGCCCAG